GACGAGGGGUCCAAGCGUUGUUCGGAAUCAUUGGGCGUAAAGCGGGCGUAGGCGGCUCUAUAAGUCAGAAGUGAAAGCCCCGGGCUUAACCCGGGAAGUGCUUUUGAUACUGCAGAGCUUGAAUGUGGGAGAGGGUAGUGGAAUUCCAGGUGUAGUGGUGAAAUACGUAGAUAUCUGGAGGAACACCGGUGGCGAAGGCGGGUCUCUGGGCCGUAACUGACGCUGAGGAGCGAAAGCAUGGGGAGCGAACAGG
rnacentral:rRNA from 1 species